CUGUGGAAACUCCCAGGGUGCAGUUAAAUGGCUUCAUCUCCUUCUUGGGCUGCUCCACUACAAGUGAUUCAGAGACGGACUGUGGCAACGCCCUCUGGUGGAUGGUGAAAGCAAAACAAAAACCAAACACCAGAAACCUGAAGUCACUAGAAAGGAUCUUGGUGGCUUUCUUCUAAAUGGCCGUCGCUAAAAUUUUCAUGCAGCAUUGAAGAUGUGCCUGUGCCAGGAACGUGGGAGGCGUGAGAGGAACUUAGAAGCAUGACACUUGGACCUGAGUUGGAGCUCAGCCCUUUGCCAGCUUCUGGGCUUGUCUGCCUGAAAUGUGACCCUCAAGAUCUGAAAUAUGCAUUACCAGUACAACGGUCAAGAGGGGCAACCAGACUGAGGAAGCUUGGACGCCCACCUCCUGCAUGAGUCACCCUCAUCCCUGACUUGACAGCUUGCACCUGAUGGGUUAUAUAUGCAAGACACAACCUCUUCCUUAUUCAAAUCACUGACUUUUGGAAUGGGGAAAAUGCAAAGAGAAAGAUCACUUUCACGUCACACUUACAUCUAAGCUGCUUCUCUUUCUGGGAAGAGACGCCAUGACCAAGGCGGCUUAUGAAAGAAAGCAUUUAAUCAGGGGCCUGCUUACAGUUCCGUAGGGCUAGUCCAUGGCCAGCGUGGUGCAGGAGGGCGGCGGCAGUCAUGGUUCUGGAGCAACGGCUGAGAGCCUACACCCUGAUCCACAGAUGGGAAGCAGAAAGAGAACUAGGCUGGGCCUGAAGUUGGCUUUUGCAAUCUCAAAGCUCACCUGCAGUGACACACUCGCUCCAGCAAGACCACAUUCUCCUGCCUCAAAUCCUUUUUAAAGAGUCAAUCUUUAGGAACCAAACAUUAAAGUAUAGGAGCCUGCGAUGGCUGUUCUUAUUCAAGCCACUACAACUUACUAUUCUGUGUUUUGUUUAUUCUGCUUAUGUAAUUAGCCCUCCCCUGUUCUUUCUGAACUGUUAGCACAUAGGAGGCAUUCCACUGAGUAGUCUUGAAUAUCUGUGUAGAGCUAGGGCGACGGCUCAGUGGUAACAGAGCGUUUGCCGCGCAGCCCUGAGAACUACGUUCAGAUUCCCAUAUAGAAAGCCAGACUUGACUUCAUCCCAAAGCAUGACCAGUUAUUGAUACACUGUGGUUACCUGCUUUCUGCUGACUGCCUCGCUCUCCUGACCAGAGCUCACUGCUGUCUGUCCUCAGGCUACUCAGUGUGAGGCGCACAUGUAGGAUGGUGUGGAGGACUUAGAAAGGGAGAGAGAGGGGAGCCUGAGGAAGAAUGUGAGUAACUGAGGGAAUCUGACAAGAAAGGGCUGAAGAUUAUACACCAUAUAUCAUAUUGUCUUUGAGUCUUACCUAAGAGACACAAAAGAAUACUAGAACUGAUUUGCUUCUGAAUUCUGGUCGGUCCUCUCUGAAAGUGACCCCACAGGAAAGCCUGGAGUUUUCCUUUGGCAUGGGGCCUACUUCUUUGUGAAGGAAUUCGGCUCUUCCCAACUCACAAACUAGUUUUGAGUCACUUCUAAGAUGUUUCAGGAUGUUUCUAAGAUGCAGCUUCUUCUGACCCUCAGGUGUAGCCUGUGUUAGAUACCAAUCUCAUGGCUGCCAGUAAACAACUUGUUCUUGCAACAAAAAAAAAAAAAAUGAUUGAAGGAGGGAAGGGCCUAUGGUCCUUACACUUGUAAAUGUCACCGUGCACUGUGGCAGGGAGUGUUCUGGGGCUCGAGCAGCAGGGAGCUGCUCUUGUCUUGUCCACAGAGAGAAGCCAGGAGAGCUGAGUGCUUGCUGUCCUCAGCUGCUUUCCCUCUCUGCCGGCCCUAGGUUAGCACUGACCUUCUCUGUCUCCUUUCUCCUUUCUCCACAGAGCCCAAAUAGGAGUUUGUUGCAGGAAGGUGGCACACUUUUUAUUCAGAAGGGCAGAGAGUGACCAUUUCAGGCUCUAUAGUACCACACUGUCAAUAUCUCG
rnacentral:sRNA from 1 species